rnacentral:rRNA from 1 species
AGCAGCAGCCGCGGGAAUACGAAGGGUGCAAGCGUUACUCGGAAUUACUGGGCGUAAAGCGUGCGUAGGUGGUGGUUUAAGUCCGUUGUGAAAGCCCUGGGCUCAACCUGGGAAUUGCAGUGGAUACUGGGUCACUAGAGUGUGGUAGAGGAUAGUGGAAUUUCCGGUGUAGCAGUGAAAUGCGUAGAGAUCGGAAGGAACAUCUGUGGCGAAGGCGACUAUCUGGGCCAACACUGACACUGAGGCACGAAAGCGUGGGGAGCAAACAGGAUUAGAUACCCCCGUGUCCCUGUCUCUUAUACA